UAAUACGGAGGGUGCAAGCGUUAAUCGGAAUUACUGGGCGUAAAGCGCACGCAGGCGGUUUGUUAAGUCAGAUGUGAAAUCCCCGGGCUCAACCUGGGAACUGCAUUUGAAACUGGCAAGCUAGAGUCUCGUAGAGGGGGGUAGAAUUCCAGGUGUAGCGGUGAAAUGCGUAGAGAUCUGGAGGAAUACCGGUGGCGAAGGCGGCCCCCUGGACGAAGACUGACGCUCAGGUGCGAAAGCGUGGGGAGCAAACAGGAUUAGAUACCCCUGGUAGUCCACGCUGUAAACGAUGUCGAUUUGGAGGUUGUGCCCUUGAGGCGUGGCUUCCGGAGCUAACGCGUUAAAUCGACCGCCUGGGGAGUACGGCCGCAAGGUUA
rnacentral:rRNA from 1 species